ACCCUUUAAUGUUUGAUGUUCUAACGUGGACCCGUAAUCCGGGUUGCGGACAGUGUCUGGUGGGUAGUUUGACUGGGGCGGUCUCCUCCUAAAGAGUAACGGAGGAGCACGAAGGUUGGCUAAUCCUGGUCGGACAUCAGGAGGUUAGUGCAAUGGCAUAAGCCAGCUUGACUGCGAGCGUGACGGCGCGAGCAGGUGCGAAAGCAGGUCAUAGUGAUCCGGUGGUUCUGAAUGGAAGGGCCAUCGCUCAACGGAUAAAAGGUACUCCGGGGAUAACAGGCUGAUACCGCCCAAGAGUUCAUAUCGACGGCGGUGUUUGGCACCUCGAUGUCGGCUCAUCACAUCCUGGGGCUGAAGUAGGUCCCAAGGGUAUGGCUGUUCGCCAUUUAAAGUGGUACGCGAGCUGGGUUUAGAACGUCGUGAGACAGUUCGGUCCCUAUCUGCCGUGGGCGCUGGAGAACUGAGGGGGGCUGCUCCUAGUACGAGAGGACCGGAGUGGACGCAUCACUGGUGUUCGGGUUGUCAUGCCAAUGGCACUGCCCGGUAGCUAAAUGCGGAAGAGAUAAGUGCUGAAAGCAUCUAAGCACGAAACUUGCCCCGAGAUGAGUUCUCCCUGAGACUUUAGGUCUCCUGAAGGAACGUUGAAGACGACGACGUUGAUAGGCCGGGUGUGUAAGCGCAGCGAUGCGUUGAGCUAACCGGUACUAAUGAACCGUGAGGCUUAACCUUACAAC
rnacentral:rRNA from 4 species